rnacentral:rRNA from 1 species
GUGGGGAAUUUUGGACAAUGGGCGAAAGCCUGAUCCAGCAAUGCCGCGUGUGUGAAGAAGGCCUUCGGGUUGUAAAGCACUUUUGGCAGGGAAGAAACAGUGCGUGCUAAUACCAUGCGCGAAUGACGGUACCUGCAGAAUAAGCACCGGCUAACUACGUGCCAGCAGCCGCGGUAAUACGUAGGGUGCAAGCGUUAAUCGGAAUUACUGGGCGUAAAGCGUGCGCAGGCGGCUUUGUAAGACGGAUGUGAAAGCCCCGGGCUCAACCUGGGAAGUGCAUUCGUGACUGAAAGGCUAGAGUGUGUCAGAGGGAGGUGGAAUUCCGCGUGUAGCAGUGAAAUGCGUAGAGAUGCGGAGGAACACCGAUGGCGAAGGCAGCCUCCUGGGAUAACACUGACGCUCAGGCACGAAAGCGUGGGGAGCAAACAGGAUUAGAAACCCGGGUAGUCC